rnacentral:rRNA from 1 species
ACGGAAGGCAGCAGUCGGGAAUAUUGCGCAAUGGAGGAAACCCUGACGCAGUGACGCCGCGUAUAGGACGAAGGUCUUCGGAUUGUAAACUAUUGUCGUUAGGGAAGAGAAAGGACAGUACCUAAGGAGGAAGCUCCGGCUAACUACGUGCCAGCAGCCGCGGUAAUACGUAGGGAGCGAGCGUUAUCCGGAUUUAUUGGGUGUAAAGGGUGCGUAGACGGGAAAUUAAGUUAGUUGUGAAAUCCCUCGGCUUAACUGAGGAACUGCAACUAAAACUGGUUUUCUUGAGUAUUGGAGAGGAAAGCGGAAUUCCUAGUGUAGCGGUGAAAUGCGUAGAUAUUAGGAGGAACACCAGUGGCGAAGGCGGCUUUCUGGACAAAAACUGACGUUGAGGCACGAAAGUGUGGGGAGCAAACAGGAUUAGAUACCCUGGUA